rfam:Triticum aestivum genome assembly, contig: Triticum_aestivum_CS42_TGACv1_scaffold_576827_7BL
UAUUUACUCCCUCCGUCCGGAAAUACUUGUCGCACAAAUAGAUGAAAUUGGAUGUAUCUAGAACUAAAAUAUGUCUAGAUACAUCCAUUUCCCCGACGAGUAUUUUCGGACGGAGGGAGUAUUAG